AAGCUCGCAUUAACCCAUUUAUAAGCCACUCGACAUUUUUGUCUCUAAUCAAUAUGGGAUAAUAUCUCAACACUCCCCUUAAGUGUAAUUGAGUCUGAACUAGUUGACACUUGACCAUAAUUUACACAGGACAUAUAGAACCUUACAUCCCUGAGAAACAUAGGUAGAUGGGUAAACACCACAUAUCCAUCUUUAAACCCUAAACAAAUAGGUUGAAUAGGCUACCUAGGAAUUUUAUGUUAUCUUUGAUACCAUAUUAAAUUUAUUAGAUUCAUGGAUAGCCCAAAAUCCCGGAAGAAGUGGAUUUUGAUUGUGGGCUUGUGAGGAGGGAGAUAUGGGCCCUUAUAGCACAAAACCAAUUGGCUUAUUCUAAAGCCCGCACUAACUCAUUUAUAAGUCAACAUUGUUUUCUCUACUCAAUAUGGGACAGUAUCUUAAUAGAUACUUUCAAAGAUUCAACAAGAAUUUGAAAAUUUUCUAAAUUUUUACAAAACCAUGAGAUGAUCUUGCACCAUAUUUUGGAGUAUGUUUACGCAUCAUGGCAUUCGAAG
rnacentral:misc_RNA from 1 species